rnacentral:rRNA from 1 species
AAUGAACGCUGGCGGCAUGCCUAACACAUGCAAGUCGAACGGCAGCACAGGAAGAGCUUGCGCUUGCGGGUGGCGAGUGGCGGACGGGGCACGAAUACAUCGGAUACUUCUUUGUCGGGGGUGAUAACGUAGGAAAACGUAUGCUAAUACAGCAUACGACGUACGGGGGAAAGCAGGGGUUCUUCGGGCUUUGCGCGAGGGUAAGAGCCGAUGUCGGAGUAGAUAGUUGGCGGGGUAAAGGCCCACCAAGGCGACGAUGCGUAGCGGGUACGACGGGAUGGGUCGCCAGCCUGGAACUGAGACACGGUCCAGACUCCUACGGGAGGCAGCAGUGGGGAAUCUUGCACAAUGGGCGAAUGCCUGAUCCAGCCAUACCGGGUGAGUGAUGAAGGACUUCGGGUGGUAAAGCCCUGUUGUUGGGAAAGAAAAGAAGCAGGUUUACCCGCGGCUAUUCUGACGGUACCCAAAGAAUAAGCUCCGGCUAACUUCGUG